rnacentral:rRNA from 1 species
GACGAACGCUGGCGGCGUGCUUAACACAUGCAAGUCGAACGGAAAGGCCCUGCUUUUGUGGGGUGCUCGAGUGGCGAACGGGUGAGUAACACGUGAGUAACCUGCCCUUGACUUUGGGAUAACUUCAGGAAACUGGGGCUAAUACCGGAUAGGAGCUCCUGCUGCAUGGUGGGGGUUGGAAAGUUUCGGCGGUUGGGGAUGGACUCGCGGCUUAUCAGCUUGUUGGUGGGGUAGUGGCUUACCAAGGCUUUGACGGGUAGCCGGCCUGAGAGGGUGACCGGCCACAAUGGGACUGAGAGACGGCCCAGACGCCUACGGGAGGCAGCAGGGGGGAAUAUUGCACAAUGGGCGGAAGCCUGAUGCAGCAACGCCGGGUGCGGGAUGACGGGCUUCGGGUUGUAAACCGCUGUCGCCUGUGACGAAGCGGGAGUGACGGUAAUGGGUAAAGAAGCACCAGCUAACUACGUG